UGGGGAAUAUUGCACAAUGGGCGCAAGCCUGAUGCAGCCAUGCCGCGUGUGUGAAGAAGGCCUUCGGGUUGUAAAGCACUUUCAGCGGGGAGGAAGGCGAUAAGGUUAAUAACCUCAUCGAUUGACGUUACCCGCAGAAGAAGCACCGGCUAACUCCGUGCCAGCAGCCGCGGUAAUACGGAGGGUGCAAGCGUUAAUCGGAAUUACUGGGCGUAAAGCGCACGCAGGCGGUCUGUCAAGUCGGAUGUGAAAUCCCCGGGCUCAACCUGGGAACUGCAUUCGAAACUGGCAGGCUAGAGUCUUGUAGAGGGGGGUAGAAUUCCAGGUGUAGCGGUGAAAUGCGUAGAGAUCUGGAGGAAUACCGGUGGCGAAGGCGGCCCCCUGGACAAAGACUGACGCUCAGGUGCGAAAGCGUGGGGAGAAAACAGG
rnacentral:rRNA from 1 species